AUGAUAUUGGUGUGAGACACGUAGCGCUAGUGAUAACAUCGUCACGUGGGAGGUGAACAUCGGUAAUGUUCGGAUCUGUGGCAUCACUACUUGCUUAGCAUGUAUUGUGUUGCGCGAACAAUACCUUAAUGUGUGGAGUGUGGCCGUUAUAGCAUAACAAACUGCAUUAAUAUGGCUAAUGGCUUUUGAAGAAGUGUAAACCUUUUCUAUAGAAAACUGAACUGAAAUUUUAAAACACAACCACUUUUGGAUGGAUCUGCCUGUAGUGCUGUAAAUUGUACAGUGUGAUAUAGCCCGGGAGCAACGAGUCAAUUUGCACUUUGUAAACUCACAACGUAAUUUUUCCUGAAAUGUAUAGAGAACUUUCUACUAUAACCAAUCAACCGUCAGCUACACUAUUAUAGUCGAUUCCACGUUCACCGUGCAGUACAAGUCUAAUGGGAGAUACUCAUGUUACUACUAUCUUUACUGGGAACAUCAUGCCUAGUGUCAUGCGGGUUGCGUCAACUGUCCUUGCGACCGCGUGAAGGCGCUUAAUAGAUUGUACUCUACCCUACCUUUUGUACCUUAGUUCAUGUUUAUAUGUGUUUCAUUUAUCUGAGAUGUUUGUAUCACUAUAAAAAGUGUAUAAAAAUAUAGGUGUGAAAGGAAUGUAUAAUUUACUAUAAAACAAUAUGUGAAUUAAUUUACACUGAAUUGAUGUUUAAUUGCUGAAUCAUUAAAAUAGUAUCAUUGUGUCAUGAUAGAGACAACUUUUAUAGCAGUGACAGUAAAACUGUUCUAGUUUUCUCAUGAUACUGUUGUUAUUGAUAACACAGCGUACCAUAGCUGUAAAGUUGAAAUAAAAAUACCAAAUACAAAAUAAAAAUACAUAAAGAUUUUGUCAACAAGUAAAAAUGUACAUUUUCCACCGGACAAAUUGAAAAAAGAACUGCUAGUGGAGGUGCAAAGAAUUAAGCACUUUUAUUCACUAAACGUUACCGACGAUAUAGCCAAAAUCGAAAACUCGUAAAUUUGAGACUUUUGAGACUACUGUGAGUUAAAUCCCAUUGAGUUGGCCAAGUUAAAAGACAUGUUGUAAAUAACAAAACAUAUAACAUCAAGCAAAAAGAGCCAUUGAUUGAAGACGCUUUUAAGGCCGCCACAAAAGAGCAAUGGAAAAUUACUGCAAUGUAUGUGGAAAAAAUUAAGAAGAAUGCGGAAGAUAGAUAAUUAACAAGAUGAUGUGGACCAUUAAUUAUUCAACUGUCUGAAUCUUCAGCAAACUCGGAGAAGAUAGUUCAACUGCGUCACAGUUCGGCUUGUGUUUGGAGUCGCUGUCUUACAGUAAAUCAAGAGCGUGUUUGCGGAGCGUGGCCCGGGGAGUCGAUGUUUUGAGGACAGCUAGUACCACGAGAACUGCCGUUUAGAUAACAUCGCAUUAGGUCGUCUCGUAUUGCACAGGGAACGUGGAACCGAGUAUAGUUUUGACAAUAGUGUGAAGAGGAAGAAGGCACUGAAUCUGUUAAAAGUACAACACUAAAUAUUUUCAAAGAACAUAUUUUUAAUUUUAUUUAUUUAUAAGUGACUGUCAUACACCUGAAUAAUAAUAAAAUAUUAUUAUUUUAUUAGUAUAAAAUAAUAAUAAAAGGUCAGGCAACAUGAUAACCCCACCCCGUCUAUUUGUUUAGACCAGGUUAAAAAUGGCAAAUUUUAAGUCUGUUAAUCUCGAUGGCUGACGCUGAUAUAAUUAUUAUUUAGGUGUCGACUGUUGAUUAUGAGUGUGUUAAGUUAAAUAAAUAUGACCUAUGACGAAUAUAAAAUUGGAAAAACAUAA